UACGUAGGGACCAAGUGUUGUUCGGAUUUACUGGGCGUAAAGGGCGCGUAGGCGGCAAUUCAAGUCAGUUGUGAAAUCUCCGAGCUUAACUCGGAACGGUCAACUGAUACUGUUUUGCUAGAGUACAGAAGGGGCAAUCGGGAAUUCUUGGUGUAGCGGUGAAUGACGUAGAUAUCAAGAGGAACACCUGAGGUGAAGACGGGUUGCUGGGCUGAUACUGACGCUGAGGCGCGAAAGCUAGGGUAGCAAACGGG
rnacentral:rRNA from 1 species